AACGGGUGAGUAACACGUGAGUAAUCUGCCCUUGACUCUGGGAUAACUUCGGGAAACCGGAGCUAAUACCGGAUAAUAUUUCGAACCGCAUGGUUCGAUAGUGAAAGAUGGCUUUGCUAUCACUUAUAGAUGGACCUGCGCCGUAUUAGCUAGUUGGUAAGGUAACGGCUUACCAAGGCAACGAUACGUAGCCGACCUGAGAGGGUGAUCGGCCACACUGGAACUGAGACACGGUCCAGACUCCUACGGGAGGCAGCAGUAGGGAAUAUUGGACAAUGGAGGAAACUCUGAUCCAGCCAUGCCGCGUGAGUGAUGAAGGCCUUCGGGUUGUAAAACUCUUUCAGGUGUGACGAUGAUGACGGUAACACCAGAAGAAGCUCCGGCUAACUUCGUGCCAGCAGCCGCGGUAAUACGAAGGGAGCGAGCGUUGUUCGGAAUCACUGGGCUUAAAGCGUACGUAGGUGGUUAUGUAAGUAAGAAGUGAAAGCCCCGGGCUUAACCUGGGAACUGCUUUUUAGACUGCAUGGCUGGAGUCCCGGAGAGGUUAGGAGAAUUCCGAGUGUAGAGGUGAAAUUCGCAGAUAUUCGGAGGAAUACCAGUGGCGAAGGCGCCUAACUGGACGGGUACUGACACUGAAGUACGAAAGCGUGGGUAGCAAACAGGAUUAGAUACCCUGGUAGUCCACGCCGUAAACGAUGUCAACUAGCCGUUGGAAGCCUUGAGCUUUUAGUGGCGCAGCUAACGCAUUAAGUUGACCGCCUGGGGAGUACGGCCGCAAGGUUAAAACUCAAAU
rnacentral:rRNA from 1 species